GACGAACGCUGGCGGCGUGCUUAACACAUGCAAGUCGAACGGAAAGGCCCUGCUUUUGUGGGGUGCUCGAGUGGCGAACGGGUGAGUAACACGUGAGUAACCUGCCCUUGACUUUGGGAUAACUUCAGGAAACUGGGGCUAAUACCGGAUAGGAGCUCCUGCUGCAUGGUGGGGGUUGGAAAGUUUCGGCGGUUGGGGAUGGACUCGCGGCUUAUCAGCUUGUUGGUGGGGUAGUGGCUUACCAAGGCUUUGACGGGUAGCCGGCCUGAGAGGGUGACCGGCCACAUUGGGACUGAGAUACGGCCCAGACUCCUACGGGAGGCAGCAGUGGGGAAUAUUGCACAAUGGGCGGAAGCCUGAUGCAGCAACGCCGCGUGCGGGAUGACGGCCUUCGGGUUGUAAACCGCUUUCGCCUGUGACGAAGCGUGAGUGACGGUAAUGGGUAAAGAAGCACCGGCUAACUACGUGCCAGCAGCCGCGGUGAUACGUAGGGUGCGAGCGUUGUCCGGAUUUAUUGGGCGUAAAGGGCUCGUAGGUGGUUGAUCGCGUCGGAAGUGUAAUCUUGGGGCUUAACCCUGAGCGUGCUUUCGAUACGGGUUGACUUGAGGAAGGUAGGGGAGAAUGGAAUUCCUGGUGGAGCGGUGGAAUGCGCAGAUAUCAGGAGGAACACCAGUGGCGAAGGCGGUUCUCUGGGCCUUUCCUGACGCUGAGGAGCGAAAGCGUGGGGAGCGAACAGGCUUAGAUACCCUGGUAGUCCACGCUGUAAACGGUGGAUACUAGGUGUGGGGUCCAUUCCACGGGUUCCGUGCCGUAGCUAACGCUUUAAGUACCCCGCCUGGGGAGUACGGCCGCAAGGCUAAAACUCAAAGGAAUUGACGGGGCCCCGCACAAGCGGCGGAGCAUGCGGAUUAAUUCGAUGCAACGCGUAGAACCUUACCUGGGUUUGACAUGGAUCGGGAGUGCUCAGAGAUGGGUGUGCCUCUUUUGGGGUCGGUUCACAGGUGGUGCAUGGCUGUCGUCAGCUCGUGUCGUGAGAUGCUGGGUUAAGUCCCGCAACGAGCGCAACCCUUGUUCACUGUUGCCAGCACGUUAUGGUGGGGACUCAGUGGAGACCGCCGGGGUCAACUCGGAGGAAGGUGGGGAUGACGUCAAGUCAUCAUGCCCCUCAUGUCCAGGGCUUCACGCAUGCUACAAUGGCUGGUACAGAGAGUGGCGAGCCUGUGAGGGUGAGCGAAUCUCGGAAAGCCGGUCUCAGUUCGGAUUGGGGUCUGCAACUCGACCUCAUGAAGUCGGAGUCGCUAGUAAUCGCAGAUCAGCAACGCUGCGGUGAAUACGUUCCCGGG
rnacentral:rRNA from 1 species